rnacentral:rRNA from 1 species
CCUACGGGAGGCAGCAGUGGGGAAUCUUAGACAAUGGGGGCAACCCUGAUCUAGCCAUGCCGCGUGAGUGAUGAAGGCCUUAGGGUCGUAAAGCUCUUUCGCCGGGGAAGAUAAUGACGGUACCCGGUAAAGAAACCCCGGCUAACUCCGUGCCAGCAGCCGCGGUAAU